rnacentral:tRNA from 1 species
GCGCAGGUGGCGAAACUGGUAGACGCACUACCUUGAGGUGGUAGCGGGAGUAAUCUUGUGGAGGUUCAAAUCCUCUCCUGCGCA